rnacentral:rRNA from 1 species
UGGGGAAUUUUGCACAAUGGGGGAAACCCUGAUGCAGCGACGCCGCGUGAUUUAGAAGGCCUUCGGGUUGUAAAAAUCUUUUGUACAGGAAGAAAAUGACAGUACUGUACGAAUAAGGUCCGGCUAAUUACGUGCCAGCAGCCGCGGUAAUACGUAAGGACCGAGCGUUGUCCGGAAUCAUUGGGCGUAAAGGGUACGUAGGCGGCCCGUUAAGUUAGGAGUGAAAGGCUAUAGCUCAACUAUAGUAAGCUUUUAAAACUGGCGGGCUUGAGAGAUUGAGGGGAAAGUGGAAUUCCUAGUGUAGCGGUGAAAUGCGCAGAUAUUAGGAGGAAUACCAGUGGCGAAGGCGACUUUCUGGCAAUUUUCUGACGCUGAGGUACGAAAGCGUGGGUAGCAAACAGG